UACGUAGGGGGCAAGCGUUGUCCGGAUUUAUUGGGCGUAAAGAGCGUGUAGGCGGCUUUACAGGUCCGUUGUGAAAACUCGAGGCUCAACCUCGAGACGCCGGUGGAAACCGUAAAGCUAGAGUCCGGAAGAGGAGAGUGGAAUUCCUGGUGUAGCGGUGAACUGCGCAGAUAUCAGGAGGAACACCAGUGGCGAAGGCGACUUCCUGGCCUGUUCUUGACGCUGAGGCGCGAAAGCUAGGGGAGCAAACGGG
rnacentral:rRNA from 1 species